rnacentral:pre_miRNA from 1 species
CAACUACUCCCUCUGUCCCAAAUUUCUUGUCUUAGAUUUGUCUAGAUACGGAUGUAUNGGAUGUAUCUAAUACUAAAAUGUGACUUGAUACAUCCGUAUCUAGACAAAUCUAAGACAAGAAUUUUGGGACGGAGGGAGUACUUU